GAGGGCGUGGUGCAGCGGCAGCACGGGCGCUCGCCAGGCGCCGGACGCGGGUUCGACUCCCGCCGCCAUCU
rnacentral:tRNA from 1 species